rnacentral:lncRNA from 1 species
AUAAAGUGUGUUCCUCAAACUUUCUGGGCCUUAUGUGGUGUGACUAUUUUGGCUUCUCUGCAGACUGAGGUGGUUGUGCUGCACAGUUUGACCUUUGACCUGAAGUAGAGUGUAACAAGCGCCACGUGAAGAAGACUACAGGUUGAGGAGUGAGGGAAGGGGAGCUGCAGAUCAAGGAGAGGAGAGACUGCCACCCACCUCACCUCACACACUGGAAUUUGGAGUCACUGCGCAGCCCACAGAGAAGGCAGUGUGAGGGGACGGGCCGGGGUCUGAGCAGCUCCACAACCAUCUUUGCCUGUGAAGUGUUGCUGAAAGCUGCUCCGCUCUGCACCGCCUGCAUGUCCCAGCUCCCGUCUGCCACAGCUGAGCUACAAAGAGACCGACACUGGGAGGGACCUCUACAGUCAUGAGUCUUUCCCUUCUGUGCGCUCCACUGCGUUAACUCUUGAGGUAAGAGUUGGGACUUCCUGAAGUGCUGCUUGUGCUUUUGUGUGUGUGUGUUAGUCCUCUUCUCUGCUGUCAGUAUAUUUGAUUGUUAUGAUGGGGGGGUGGG